rnacentral:sRNA from 1 species
CCCUAGCCCUGAUAGAAGCGGUAUCCUUUUUAUGAAGUGAUUUUUCUUCACUUUAUAAAAAGACACAAGCGGAUAGCCGUAAAUAGC